AUAUGGGGAGACAACAGGGAUUGCCCCAGUAACGGCGAGUGAAGCGGCAACAGCUCAAAUUUGAAAUCUGGCCCCCAGGGUCCGAGUUGUAAUUUGUAGAGGAUGCUUUUGGCGAGGUGCCUUCCGAGUUCCCUGGAACGGGACGCCACAGAGGGUGAGAGCCCCGUCUGGUCGGCCACCGAGCCUCUGUAAAGCUCCUUCGACGAGUCGAGUAGUUUGGGAAUGCUGCUCAAAAUGGGAGGUAUAUGUCUUCUAAAGCUAAAUACUGGCCAGAGACCGAUAGCGCACAAGUAGAGUGAUCGAAAGAUGAAAAGCACUUUGAAAAGAGGGUUAAAAAGUACGUGAAAUUGUUGAAAGGGAAGCGCCUAUGACCAGACUUGGGCCCGGUGAAUCAUCCAGCGUUCUCGCUGGUGCACUUCGCCGGGCACAGGCCAGCAUCAGUUUGGCGCGGGGGACAAAGGCUCUGGGAAUGUGGCUCCCCCGGGAGUGUUAUAGCCCACCGCGUAAUACCCUGCGCCGGACUGAGGUACGCGCAUUCGCAAGGAUGCUGGCGUAAUGGUCAUCAGCGACCCGUCUUGAAACACGGACCAAGGAGUCGUCUUCGUAUGCGAGUGUUCGGGUGUCAAACCCCUACGCGUAAUGAAAGUGAACGUAGGUGAGAGCUUCGGCGCAUCACCGACCGAUCCUGAUGUUCUCGGAUGGAUUUGAGUAAGAGCAUACGGGGCCGGACCCGAAAGAAGGUGAACUAUGCCUGUAUAGGGUGAAGCCAGAGGAAACUCUGGUGGAGGCUCGCAGCGGUUCUGACGUGCGAAUCGAUCGUCAAAUAUGGGCAUGGGGGGCGGAGAGACUAAUCGAACCUUCUAGUAGCUGGUUUCCGCCGAAGUUCCCCCUCCGGGGAAGGG
rnacentral:rRNA from 1 species